CCCUUAGAUGUUCUGGGCUGCACGCGUGCUACACUGAUUAUUUCAACAAGUGUUUUAACUGGAGAGUUUGCGUAAUCCUGAAAUGCUAUCGUGAUGGGAGUAGAGUAUUGUAUUUGUUAAUCUUUAACGAGGAAUUCCUAGUAAGUGUAGGUUUAUAAGUUGUUCUGAUUACGUCCCUGCCCUUUGUACACACCGCCCGUCGCUCCUACCGAUUGAUUGAUCCGGUGAAUUACAUAGAAUUUUGCGUUUUACAUGACGGAAGAUGAAGUGUUUUAAACCUUAUCAUUGAGAGGAAGGAGAAGUCGUAACA
rnacentral:rRNA from 1 species